AAUUAGAAUCUAAUUAACUAAUAAAUAAUUUUUAUUAAUUUUAUUAC
rnacentral:tRNA from 1 species